UACGUAGGGGGCAAGCGUUGUCCGGAAUCAUUGGGCGUAAAGAGCGCGUAGGCGGUCCGGUAAGUCGGUUGUGAAAACUGGGGGCUCAACCCUCAGAGGCCGACCGAUACUGUCGGGCUAGAGUCCGGAAGAGGCGAGUGGAAUUCCUGGUGUAGCGGUGAAAUGCGCAGAUAUCAGGAGGAACACCAAUGGCGAAGGCAGCUCGCUGGGACGUUACUGACGCUGAGACGCGAAAGCGUGGGGAGCAAACAGG
rnacentral:rRNA from 1 species